rnacentral:snRNA from 1 species
GUGUUCGCUCAUGCAGCACAUAUGAUAAAUUGGAAUCGAUACAGAGAAAAUAAGCAUGGCCCCUGCAAAA